GCCGACCUGAGAGGGUGAUCGGCCACAUUGGAACUGAGACACGGUCCAGACUCCUACGGGAGGCAGCAGUGGGGAAUAUUGCGCAAUGGGGGAAACCCUGACGCAGCAACGCCGCGUGGGUGAUGAAUGUCUUCGGAUUGUAAAGCCCUGUUUUCUGGGACGAUAAUGACGGUACCAGAGGAGGAAGCCACGGCUAACUACGUGCCAGCAGCCGCGGUAAUACGUAGGUGGCGAGCGUUGUCCGGAUUUACUGGGCGUAAAGGGUGCGUAGGCGGAUGUUUAAGUGGGAUGUGAAAUCCCCGGGCUUAACCUGGGGGCUGCAUUCCAAACUGGAUAUCUAGAGUGCAGGAGA
rnacentral:rRNA from 1 species